rnacentral:lncRNA from 1 species
GCCCAUCCACAAUCCGAUCCACAACAUCCUAGCAAAACCCAAGCCUACUUGAUGGUAAUAGCGCUCACUUUUGCCCCUAGUGGCCGGUUUUGAAGGCAUUUUCCGAUGUCCUCCGGACAUAGAUAGAAGUCCAACUACGACGUCAAUCUUCAAGGAUCUCCCUGCAAAGAUCCCAGUUGUUUUGAAAGCCCCAUAAAUCCAGAGAAUGCCAGACUUUGAAGACAAAAUUUGCCCACGAAGGACAGCCGCACCAUCUUCCUUUCAAGUGAGCACAGCACAAGGUCCCCAAGAACACAGUGGCCCCCAUUAUUCUUAAAUGGAAGAUGUUGGAACCACAAAGUCUAUUCCUAGAGCUGGCCGCCCUGCCAAACUGAGCAAUCGGGGGAGAGGGGCCUUGGUCAGGGAGGUGACCAAGAACCUGAUGGCCACUCUGACAGUGCUCCAGAGUUCCUCUGUGGAGAUGGGAGAACUUUCCAGAAGGACAACUAUUUGGGGAGAAAAAAAAAAAAAAAAAAGUCUGCUGGAAUACUUUGUACAUAUGAGUGUGAAAUUGGGUUUGGUAUUUAAUACAGUGAGCUGCUGCAGUUAU